UACGUAGGUGGCAAGCGUUGUCCGGAUUUACUGGGCGUAAAGAGCGCGCAGGCGGUCGAAUAAGUCGAAUGUGAAAGCCUCCGGCUUAACUGGGGAGGGUCAUUCGAUACUGUUCGACUUGAAGGCAGGAGAGGGCAGCAGAAUUCCCGGUGUAGUGGUGAAAUGCGUAGAUAUCGGGAGGAAUACCAGUGGCGAAGGCGGCUGCCUGGCCUGUUCUUGACGCUGAGGCGCGAAAGCUGGGGGAGCAAACGGG
rnacentral:rRNA from 1 species